GGCGUCCGGGUGAGUAACACGUAGGUAAUCUACCUUUGGGUGGGGAAUAACGCAGGGAAACUUGCGCUAAUACCGCAUAAUGCAGCGGCACCACAUGGUGACAGUUGUUAAAGCGGGGGAUUUUCGGACCUCGCGCCUAAAGAGGAGCCUGCGGCAGAUUAGCUAGUUGGUAAGGUAACGGCUUACCAAGGCGACGAUCUGUAGCCGGCCUGAGAGGGCGGUCGGCCACACUGACACUGACAUACGGGUCAGACUCCUACGGGAGGCAGCAGUCGGGAAUUUUGGGCAAUGGGCGAAAGCCUGACCCAGCAACGCCGCGUGAAGGAUGAAAUCCCUCGGGAUGUAAACUUCGCAAGAAUGGGAAGAAUUAGCGAGUAUUAAUACUGCUCGUGAUGACGGUACCAUUUGUAAGCUCCGGCUAACUCCGUGCCAGCAGCCGCGG
rnacentral:rRNA from 1 species